GCCGCCCGGGCUGGGCUGAGACCUCCCCUCCCCAGGCACAGGCCUCUGAUGUCAUUUCCUGACUCGCCACCACCACCACCAGCGCCCCCGCCCGACCCGCGGGUGCCCGAGAUCUGACUCACCUUCCCCACUCCCGGCGAAGCCGGCGGAGGUCGAGCGACUGCCCCCGAGGUGGCGAAGCAGCCGGACUGCGCCUCCGCCGGGGCCCAACCCGCUCCUCUCCCGGCCUGCCGCUACCUGCCCCCGCCACCUCCAGCUGCUCCGCCACCUCCUACCCAGCCGCGGGCCACGUCCCCCGUCCCCUCCGGCUCAGCCCAGACCGGCCGGACUGGGAUGGAAACGGGCUCCAGGGCAGACGGGGAUGUACUUCAGCGCCCACCGUGACCCACCCUUCCGAGAGGCUUUGAGCCGCGAGGCCGCCCCAAGACAAGCGGCGCCUGCGUUCGGUGGAGCCCCCCACUGGUCCGACCGGAUUCCUCCGCCUGGGACUAGGCCCCUGGCUACGAAAAAGGGCUAGACCUAGGCUCUUUUUCUCUUUGUUUUUAAUUCAAAUGGGAAAUUUACCAAA